rnacentral:lncRNA from 1 species
GUGCCAUAAAAAUCCCAUAUUAAAUUGGAUAUAAAUCAUAAGAGAUCAGGUUGAGAAAUUAAGGCAAUGCGUUAAGAUAAGAGUCUUCGUGAAGAAGGACUCUUCAUCUUUACAUGCUAAAAUGAGGGUGGUGGCAAUUAAUUUUUGGCAUGGCAUUUGGUGGGCAUAGAGGAAUCCUUCUCUACUUGAAACUGUUUCAAGUUGGAUAAGAAUCCAAUCAAGAU